GUAGUCAUAUGCUUGUCUCAAAGAUUAAGCCAUGCAUGUCUAAGUAUAAGCAAUUAUACCGCGAAACUGCGAAUGGCUCAUUAUAUAAGUUAUCGUUUAUUUGAUAAUACUUUACUACUGGAUAACCGUGGUAAUUCUAGAGCUAAUGCAUGCCUAAAAGGCCUGACUUCGGGAGGGCUGCACUUAUUAGAUCAAAACCAUCCUGGGUAAAACCAGUUCUAUGGUGAUUCAUAAUAAUUAAGCUGAUCGCAUGGCCUUGCGCCGGCGACGGUACAUUCGAUUUUCUGCCCUAUCAGGCUGUUGAUUGUAAGGUAGUGGCUUACAAUGGCGACCACGGGUAACGGGGAAUUAGGGUUCGAUUCCGGAGAGGGAGCCUGAAAAACGGCUACCACAUCCAAGGGAGGCAGCAGGCGCGCAAAUUACCCAAUCCCAACUCGGGGAGGUAGUGACAAUAAAUAACACUGCAGGGCCUUCUGGCCUCGCAAUUGGAAUGAGUACAAUUUAAAUCCCUUAACGAGGA
rnacentral:rRNA from 1 species